UACGAAGGGGGCUAGCGUUGCUCGGAAUUACUGGGCGUAAAGGGCGCGUAGGCGGAUAUUUAAGUCAGGGGUGAAAGCCCGGGGCUCAACCCCGGAACAGCCUUUGAUACUGGAUAUCUUGAGUUCGGGAGAGGUGAGUGGAAUGCCGAGUGUAGAGGUGAAAUUCGUAGAUAUUCGGCGGAACACCAGUGGCGAAGGCGACUCACUGGCCCGAUACUGACGCUGAGGCGCGAAAGCGUGGGGAGCAAACAGG
rnacentral:rRNA from 2 species